rnacentral:rRNA from 1 species
UCCGGACAACGGCGAGCGAAGCGGGAAGAGCUCAAAUUUGAAAUCUGGUGGCCUCAGGUCAUCCGAGUUGUAAUCUAUAGAAGUGUUUUCCGUGCUGGCCCAUGUACAAGUCCCUUGGAACAGGGCGUCAUAGAGGGUGAGAAUCCCGUCCUUGACAUGGACUACCAGUGCUCUGUGAUACACUUUCAACGAGUCGAGUUGUUUGGGAAUGCAGCUCAAAAUGGGUGGUAAAUUCCAUCUAAAGCUAAAUAUUGGCGAGAGACCGAUAGCGAACAAGUACCGUGAGGGAAAGAUGAAAAGCACUUUGGAAAGAGAGUUAAACAGUAUGUGAAAUUGUUGAAAGGGAAACGAUUGAAGUCAGUCGUGCUCAAUGGACUCAGCCGUUCUGCGGUGUAUUUCCAUUGGGUGGGGUCAACAUCAGUUUUGAUCGCUGGAUAAAGGCAGGAGGAAUGUAGCACCCCCGGGUGAACUUAUAGCCUCUUGUCACAUACAGUGGUUGGGACUGAGGAACGCAGCAUGCCUUUAUGGCCGGGAUUCGUCCACGUACAUGCUUAGGAUGUG